GGGGGAGUUUCUCAGACGCCGGCUGUGCUUCAUUUUUGGGAGGGCAGUAAUUACUGCUUUGAUGACAAAGAAUGCUCCCUAUACCGGGAGAACCAAUGCAGAUCUCUAUGUAGGGUAGAAGGUGGAGCGGGGCAAGAGGGCUUUGUCUUUUGUUCCCCUUUAGGAACCGGGGAGACCUGCCUGCAAGUCCCGCCUCUGCCAGAAAAACAUGCAGAUAAGGGAGGUGUUGCUGUUAAUAACUACAAGAAAUCUUCCAGACACAGCUUUCCUGAGGUCCUGUUCCUAUGGGAUAGAGAAUGACAAUAGCAACUUGUACUAAAUGUGCUCCCUUGAUAUCAUCCAGGCCUGGAGUAAAUUUUAGGAUUGCAUCAGUGAAGUUUGCUGUAGAAAGCUGGCUGGGCCUGCUGUAGCUAAUACUCUGGAAUGAAUCCUUAUGGAACAGUCUGGCAAAGUUUUGACCUGGUGUCACUCAUGUCACCUCGAGACUGCUGAAGACCAGGUCCAAGGAUGGAGGCAUUCCUUUGGGAAUGCUUCAUGCCUCCCACCAGGAAAAAAUACCGGCAAGAAGGGGAACAAGAAGAGCGAAGUCCUUGGACUGACUCCUUCACUGGAGGCAGAUUCAUGUUUUGCCAAAAGAAAAUGGAGUCACUCUAUUUUCAAUCAUUAUUCUUCCAUGUGUAUUGACUUGGUGUAUGGGUUUUGAUGAGAUGGCACAGUUUCAGAGUUUGUGUUUAUUUUAAUUUUUAGAUAAAACAAAUUGAGGGGACUCUGAACCUGGCUGAUUUGUACCAUGGACAAUAUUACCACAAAACAACAAAUAUCAGUUUCACUAAACUGGAAACUCUAAAAUAUACACACUGUGAACAACAAUGUUUACAACCAAUACAGGUGGGCCUUCAGGCCUCUUCGUACCAUGCACCACAUUGUCUUCCAUUAUUCCAUUGGAAGUAAACAACCAAAGCGUUUCCUCUUUUACAUGUGACUUUCUCAUUACUAACAAAUAGAAUACAAAGGCUGAGAGUCCCUUACAUUUUAUUUUAAUGUAUUAAGCUUGUUAUUCAUAAUGUAUGUCUGAAAUCUUCAAUCGCCUAUGUAACCUCAUAUUUUAGCCAUGUAAAUUUUAUGUAUAGAAAUACUGUAAUAGUAUGUAAUGCAUUGUUUCCUUGUGGUAAGUGAUUGAGGUGCUGCCACAGGAUAUGAGACACUGAUGAAUGGUGCUAUUUUGGAUUUUAAACAUGCUCCUUGGCAAGGUAGCUCUGAUGGAUUUUUAUUUUUAUUUUCCCUGUUCUGGGAGGGUAUUGAUGCUUUACUGAUUGCUUUCAUUUUUUGGACUGGAUUGACUUGUUUCUGAAUGUGUGGUGACUUUCAUAUUGAACCUAUUAAGCUAGGAGCAGUACCUGUUGACUGAAGAGUUGAGUUAUAGUAACCUGGGUGCAUGAAAGUGCCUGAGUGAUAAAGGGACAAUUGCAGCAUUGCAACCUUACCUUUUUAAAUUACUUUUUCCCUUUAGGUACUUCUUUCAUAGUUAUAAGAAAUCUUUUAAAAAUGCAUUUUUAAAUACUCAGCUGCAGGUUGAGACAAGAGAUUUUGUUGCUUUGAAUUACGUCCUUAAUGGAUAAAACACACUAAAUGUGACCAUAAAGUAAGCUUAAGGUAUUUUACGUUUCAAUAAUUUCAAAACUAGGCGAUUGAAAGUAAUGUGACUGGAGAAAAGUAUUAGGGUUAUAUCCAUAGAAUAUAAUAUAACAAAAUAUAAAUGUUCUGAGAAAGAAGUACUUGCCAAUAGAAGACCCUUUCUUUGACAGCAAGUGAAUGGCGCAGAAGAAUGCAUUGCCAAAAGUGGGGUGUACAGAACCCAAUUCUCUCUUUUUACACGAGAAUCAGUUCCAUUCUUGCCACAAUUCAGUAAAUUAGAGCCAACUUUUUUUUUCCAGAUUUAUUAGUUCCAAGAGCAACUCUCACCAAGUCAGUAGUAUAUUAUUCAUGGUGCCAACCUUUUUAUCUUAAAUAGGCCUAUACCAAUCUCUGCGAGGCUUUCCUUUUUCUCAGGUAGGCAAUUAUAGUUAUAAACGACAUGUAAGAAAAAAUUAGUUGACACCUUCACAGUCUUAGUACCAAUAACGACCGUGGAACAUUUGCCAACCCACAGGAAAAUACUAUAAAGCUGAACAGUAAAUGCAGUUGAAUGGAUAGCUGAUUGUGGAAACAAAGGUGGCGUAGUGUCGAUUUUAUCCCCAGAUUUGUUUUUAUUUUCCCAAAGAAACUAUUCUUCAUUUUUGCUGAAGAACGAAAGGUCUAAAUACUCAUUGCAAACAGAGGGAAAAAGUGGGGAGAAAAGGAUGUUUGCUAUUUUGUGUUUGCUCCCUUUUAAAAUAAAAUCAUAUAUUACCACCAAGUAUGAGGUGCUGCUGUGUUUGAUAAGGUCUGAAAGCCCACCUUAAGAAAUAUUUUAAUGUCUUCAUAGCUCUUCCUUCCAUGCAGGCCUUCCUGCUUGUUCUAAACUAUUCCAGUUUCUGAUUGUUAAAUGCUGAUGCAUGUAUUCAUUAUUUACAGUGUUUAAAUUUAUGUUUGAUUAGAAUUUAGUUGUGUAACUAGCCAAGUAGUACUUUAGUGGCACUUUGCAGAUGUAUACAGAUUGCUUUAUGAUAAAAGUACAUGUUUUAUUGAAAAUGUGACCUUCAACUGCUUUACUGUUAUACCCCAUAUACUCAAGUGUAACACGAUUUUGUGCUUAUUUUAGUGGGAAUUCUUCAAUAAAUAUUCAAAGUCAACAUUAA